AUGGAAGAGGAGAUCGCCGCACUCGUCAUCGACAAUGGCUCCGGCAUGUGCAAGGUGGGCUUUGCUGGGGAUGACGCCCCCUGAGCCGUGUUCCCGUCCAUCGUCGGGCGACCCCGACACCAGGGUGUGAUGGUGGGCAUGGGCCAGAAGGACUCCUAUGUGGGCGACGAGGCCCAGAGCAAGCGGGGCAUCCUGACCCUCAAGUAGCCCAUCGAGCGCAGCCUUGUCACCAACUGGGACGACAUGGAGAAGUUCUGGCACCACACCUUCUACAACGAGCUGAGCGUGGCCCCCGAGGAGCACGCCAUGCUGCUGACCGAGGCCCCCCCUGAAUCCCAAGGCCAACCACGAGAAGAUGACCCAGAUCAUGUUCGAGACCUUCAACACCCCAGCCAUGUACGUGGCCAUCCAGGCUGUGCUGUCCCUGUAUGCCUCUGGCCGCACCACUGGUAUUGUCAUGGACUCUGGGGACGGGGUCACCCACACUGCCCAUCUACGAGGGGUACACCCUGCCCCACGCCAUCCUGUGUCUGAACCUGGCUGGCCGGGACCUGAUGGACUACCUCACAAAGAUCCUCAAGGAGCGUGGCUACAGCUUCACCACCACCGCCAAGCGGGAAAUCGUGCGUGACAUCAAGGAGAAGCUGUGCUACGUCGCCCUGGACUUCAAGCAGGAGAUGGCCACAGCUGCGUCCUCCUCGUCCCUGGAGAAGAGCUAUGUGCUGCCCGACUGGCAGGUGAUCACCAUUGGCAACGAGCGAUUCCACUGCCCAGAGGCUCUCUUCCAGCCUUCUUUCCUGGGUAUAGAGUCCUGUGGCAUCCACGAGACCACCUUCAACUCUAUCAUGAAGUGUGACAUGGACAUCCGGAAGGACCUCUACGCCAACACGGUGCUGUCUGGCAGGACCACCACGUACCCUGGCAUCUCCAACAGGUUGCAGAAGGAGAUCACAGCUCUGGUGCCCAGCACGAUGAAGAUCAAGAUCAUCACUCCUCCUGAACUCAAGUACUCGGUGUGGAUCGGGGGCUCCAUCCUGGCCUCGCUGUCCACCUUCCAGCAGAUGUGGAUCAGCAAGCAGGAGUAUGACAAGUCAGGCCCCUCCAUUGUGUACCACAAAGGCUCCUGGUACUCCAUUAUACACUCUCUUCAUUAUGCAUUAUCUUCAUGUGCACAUUUUCAUUGA